rnacentral:misc_RNA from 1 species
AGAAAAACAUUGUCGUUUGUCCCUCGUAACUAAACAAUAUUUACUCUGUUUUUUCUUUCUUUAAGUAUUCAAUAAGUUUAGUUUGUGUUUUAUUUUUUUCUCUCUUGCUGCCAUUUAUACGAUGCUGUGAUCAAUUAUAUGUAUAUGACGUACAAUUUUUGUAUAGUUUUAGUCUUAUACUAUUGUGUUAUUAUUUAUUCACAAAAGUGUUCAAAUGUAUAUAUUUAUUGUUGUAGUGCAAUUAGUUUUAUAAUGUUAGUAGUUCUAAACAGAUCGAAGUGCGCCUAAGUUUAGCUUCAGAAACUUUUGUUGUCAUAUAAAGUGGCAAUGAGUAUGAACUUUCACUAAUUGAUAAUCAACUCUUCACUUUGCCUGAUGAUGUAGAUAAAAUGAUUUAUGUAUAUCGUUACUUUUGGGUCAUGUAUUUAUAACUUCAAAAAGUUAUUUCGUUAAACACACUGAUGACACUAUUUAUUGCAAUAUAUAAAAUUAUGAAAUAAAUUUUUUUUUUUCAGAAA